rnacentral:rRNA from 1 species
AUAUUUGACAAUGGGGGCAACCCUGAUCCAGCCAUGCCGCGUGUGUGAAGAAGGUCUNNNGAUUGNACAGCACUUUAAGUUGGNAGGNAGGGUUGUAGGUUAAUACCCUGCAAUUUUGACGUUACCAACAGAAUAAGCACCGGCUACCUUCUUGCCAGCAGCCGCGGUUAUACGAAGGGUGCAAGCGUUAAUCGGAAUUACUGGGCGUAAAGCGCGCGUAGGUGGUUCGUUAAGUUGGAAGUGAAAGCCCCGGGCUUAACCUGGGAAUUGCUUUCAAAACUGACGAGCUAGAGUACGGUAGAGGGUAGUGGAAUUUCCUGUGUAGCGGUGAAAUGCGUAGAUAUAGGAAGGAACACCAGUGGCGAAGGCGACUACCUGGACUGAUACUGACACUGAGGUGCGAAAGCGUGGGGAGCAAA